rnacentral:rRNA from 1 species
CCUACGGGUGGCAGCAGUGGGGAAUAUUGGACAAUGGGGGCAACCCUGAUCCAGCCAUGCCGCGUGUGUGAAGAAGGCCCUCGGGUUGUAAAGCACUUUCAGUGAGGAAGAACGCCUGGUGGUUAAUACCCAUCAGGAAAGACAUCACUCACAGAAGAAGCACCGGCUAACUCCGGGCCAGCAGCCGCGGUAAUACGGAGGGGGCGAGCGUUAAUCGGAAUUACUGGGCGUAAAGCGCGCGUAGGUGGCUUGAUAAGCCGGUUGUGAAAGCCCCGGGCUCAACCUGGGAACGGCAUCCGGAACUGUCAAGCUAGAGUGCAGGAGAGGAAGGUAGAAUUCCCGGUGUAGCGGUGAAAUGCGUAGAGAUCGGGAGGAAUACCAGUGGCGAAGGCGGCCUUCUGGACUGACACUGACACUGAGGUGCGAAAGCGUGGGUAGCAAACAGGAUUAGAUACCCGAGUAGUC